AUCAAAUUAGAAGGCUCAGAGAUUGCUCAAAUUGCUAGUAGAUACGUUAGGUUUUAUGUAAAUCUUCUUAACGUUAUCUAAAAAUCCUAAAUGCUCGUCAACUCAAACGUCGCUAGCAGCAAUUGCAUGGUGUCUGUCGUGGUGGUGGAGGGGGCAGAGGUGCUCCGAUUCGAUAGAAGUCAACGAGUUGAAGUAGUUCGAUCCAAGUUGCUACCGCUGAAGCCUUGUUGAUAUCUUAUUGGAGGUUUUCUAAAUUGUAACUAUGCCCUCCUCCCUCCGCACUCCACAACAAACAAGGAAUUUGAAUCAGAUUCAGGUAACCUUAAACCUUUUUUUUCUAUUCCGUAAAAAAGAUGGGGAUGUGGUCGCUCAUGUUGUCCAGUAAGGCAACCUCCCAAGCGAGUGGCCAUUGCAUCUCUGCCUUGCAAGGCAACGACUUGGAAGCCUCACAAGCAGCCGCUGCCCAGUGAGGCAGUGUUAGGCAACGAUGCGACUGCUUGCGAGGUGGCCUUUGCCCCGCAAGGCAGCGACGUAGCCACCUUGCCAGACUGCCAUUUGAGGCAUUGCUCAUGUUCAUUAUUUUCAGAGAUGGGAAGUCAUUUUCAGGCUGCCAUUUGUGUUGUUUGACUAAGAUACAUCCUUUUGUAAUAUUAAGGAAGGAGCUAUGGCUGCUAACCCGCUUGUCAAAUGCAUUGAAGAUGCAUUGACAAUGAACCAAUAGCUUAUCAAUUCUAAAUAGGUCUUCUUGCUAAGUUAUCAGAUCCAGGAGGUUGAUAGAGUGAGUUGUUGUAGCAGAGAGCAGUAAAGUUUAUAUGUAACAAAGAUAUGACCUUUUGUUGUGCACUGAGAGUUCAAUUUGUCUAGCAAGAUUGAGCAUUGUUGCAUUAGAAUUUCCAGAAUU